rnacentral:rRNA from 1 species
GCCUGGUGGGUAGUUUGACUGGGGCGGUCUCCUCCCAAAGAGUAACGGAGGAGCACGAAGGUGGGCUAAUCACGGUUGGACAUCGUGAGGUUAGUGCAAUGGCAUAAGCCCGCUUGACUGCGAGAAUGACAAUUCGAGCAGGUGCGAAAGCAGGUCAUAGUGAUCCGGUGGUUCUGAAUGGAAGGGCCAUCGCUCAACGGAUAAAAGGUACUCCGGGGAUAACAGGCUGAUACCGCCCAAGAGUUCAUAUCGACGGCGGUGUUUGGCACCUCGAUGUCGGCUCAUCACAUCCUGGGGCUGAAGUCGGUCCCAAGGGUAUGGCUGUUCGCCAUUUAAAGUGGUACGCGAGCUGGGUUUAGAACGUCGUGAGACAGUUCGGUCCCUAUCUGCCGUGGGCGUUGG